CAUUCCUGGGUGUUCCGACCUGCAGGGUGACCUGCACCAAACACCAAAUACUGCUGAGAAGUACUGGUGUAUUUGAGAUGCCGGAGCAGCCCCAGUCCCUUGGCUCUGUGAAAUAGAGAUUCUUGAGCAGUGCUGUUUGCUGGAGUUACGGCACUGCCUCCCCUGCUUUCUCUUACUGUAUCCCUCCUCUGUGGGCUGAGCUCAUCCCAAAUGCCCCAUGUGAGAUCCCUUCUUUCAAAGGCUACUGAAAAUCAGCAGCCAUUGCCACAGAGAUAGUUAACAUGAGCCCUUCCAUGGAAAGGUCCUUUUGAUAUAUGAUAAAGUGGGGUGAAAUUCUUCAGCAAGGUAUGAGGACCGGUGUGACAGAGUGUGCUGAGCAGGGAUGGAGUGCAGCACCUCUUGCAUUUAAAUGUAUUGUAGAAUCACAGAAUCAUUAAGAUUGGAAAAGAGCUCUAAGUCCAUCUAGUCCCACCAUCAACCCAUCACCACCAUGUGCCAAAUGGAGUCUAAAACAGAGCUCAUCCUAAAAUCCAGUGGAUGUUGUUAUGGAGAAUGCCAGUGCAGAGCCCUGCAGGAUUCUCAUGCACUAACGGCUGCACAUUGUGUUUGCCGUUGCAGUUUGCAUUGCAGCACGGCGCUGGUGGAGAAGUAAGACAGCCACAUUCCAGCACCACUGCAAUGACAAACAAGAGAGGGAGACCCUCUGAACCCCAUGGGAGGAUAAGGAUGGUGGCACUUAGCAGGAGCAGAAUCGCAGCCCCUGGGCAUGCAACCCUUGCCCUGCUUAGCCUGACCCCCACACCUGGAACAGCAGACAGCACAGCAGUCCAACAGGUUUGGGUGAUAACUGACCUGGAAAACACCUCUUGCUUAGGAGCUCCCCAGCGUUAUCCCUGCAGGCAGCUGCCCUCAUCCAGCAUCGCUGCAGAGCAGUGCGAGGGGAAUGGCACGGAGCGCAGCGCUGCCAGCAGCUGUGUGUCCCCAUCCUCAGCUGUAUGCUCCCCAAGGAGCCCUCGUGGCAGCUUGUAAGGUUCAUCGUCAGCCUCACAUCGCAUCGUGCUUUGGCUGAAAGUUGAGCUGACUGUGUGCUGUCUCUGUAGGCUCCUGGUGUGCCUCCCCUCCCCGAGCACACAGCGAUGUCUUACGGACAGGACGCGUGUGCUUUGGCUGUAUGAAAUCGUAACGUUCUUUCUAUAGGAGAAAAUAUUUAAUUUUGCUCUAAAUUCCACUAUAACCAAACUGAUCUUCAUUUAUAUCCUGGAUAAUAAAUCACAGCAACGUGAAGUCUCGUGCACAGAACUGAAGUGGUUUCUUAAAGCAAAUUUGGCAGGAAAUAAGUCAUCAUCUUGCAAAGCUGGUUCACUCUCAUACACAGCGCUCCCUGAGCUCUCUGCUCUGAGCUCCGAGCAGGCACGAAAAGUCAUCAUCUUGAAAAAUGGGGAGAGAUCUCUGAGUCGUAGCAAAGCCCUGUGAGAGACACCACAUGAUGCUGCUAUCAAAACAACACAGAACUUGGUCAGAGAAUCACCCCAUGAGUCCUCCCCGACUCCUGGGCUUGCAGUGCACGGGUACUCAGAUAUCACAAGGGCCAUUAGUUUGGCUCCUUAGAAAAAUAAGGUCGUGCUGCUCUCACAUCUUCCCUCUGUGCUUUCCCUCUUUCUUCUUUCCUCCUCAGCUAAUGUUGGGAUUUUUUUUGUCGGCUUUUUUUUUUUGGCCUUUCUUUCUAGUUUCCAUUUCUAUCGUGCAAACAUGCCGCGGCGAAGCGAUGUAAGCAAUGCAUAAUAUAUUUGCAGUAAUGUAUGAUUCAUUUACCAGCUUUCAUAAUUAAUGCGGAUGUGUUUUACAUACACAGAACUUCCUGCCUGCAUUUUAUGAUGUGAACACUCUUCAAAAUCUAAUAAAAUGUAAGCCAUUAAAAACAAUGGUACUUUUCCUGUUACGAGAUUUGUGUGCAGCUUUGCAGCAGGCGCUCGGUGUGAGCUGGUACUCCAAGCACUGAUUUUUUGCUGCUCCUAAUUCCAUGGGUAGAAACGAUCCGUGUUAUUCCAAUGAUACCACCGUGGCUGUGGGUAUCCUCCUGCUUUCAUACCUUGAAAACUUUCCAACCCAAAUACUUAUUCUAUCCGCUGUCUGGAGGUCAGCAACCCAGAUGAAAUUAUGCUGAAUUUGUGAAAAAGAAACUUGCAAAGGCUGUACAGCAGCAUCUGUAAAAUAUCAGUUGAGUAACGCCAGGGUUUCCACCUCCAAGAAUCCUUGUCCUUGCUUGGGGCACACACAGCUCUGGGCCCCAGCACCUUUUUGCAGUGGUAUUUCUGUGUCUAUUUCCCAUCAGUAUCAAUGCCAGGCAGGGGCUGCUGAAGAGCUCAGGCCAUGCACUUUAUCUACACAUUAUUCUCUUCCUCGGGCAAAACUGGAAACCCAAAACUAUUCCGCACCUCAUAUUGAAGCUGAGUUACCCACCGAGCUUUGUUCCUUUAUGCAGAUAGGUUUGGGAGCUCUUCGUUUCCUAUGGUCACACUAUGCAUGCGUGGAAAAUUAAUGCCAACGACAAAACCUCUGCAAGGACGUCAGCACCCACCUGGGGAGCACUGUAGUGAGGCUGUGGAUGUCAGCAGGUGAUGCUGAGGCUUUCUGUGCAGCUGUACCUAUUUCAGUGCCAACCCUGCAGCUGCUUCUACCACAAUGCCCCUUCUCCUUAAGCCCAGAAAGUCACGGAGCUGCUCCCCUGGGCUGCCCCAAAAAAGCCCCGACAGUGGCAGUAUUGGUAACAAGGUGACAGGGACUGCCAAAUGGCCGGAUUCAGGCUGGGGUGGGGGGCAGGAGGGGGCUUAGGCUGGGUGUAUGGGGGGGCUGCCACGGGCCUCCUGUCUCCUAAAUGGAUGAGAGGACCACGUGCCUACGCAGGUCCCUCUUGUCUCUGAAACU
ensembl:lncRNA